UACAGAGGUCCCGAGCGUUGUUCGGAUUCACUGGGCGUAAAGGGUGCGUAGGUGGUGAGGUAAGUCGGAUGUGAAAUCUCCGGGCUCAACCCGGAAAUGGCAUUGGAAACUACCUUGCUGGAGGAUUUGAGGGGGGAUUGGAAUACUUGGUGUAGCAGUGAAAUGCGUAGAUAUCAGGAAGAACACCGGUGGCGAAAGCGCUCUGCUAGGCCGCAACUGACACUGAGGGACGAAAGCUAGGGGAGCGAAUGGG
rnacentral:rRNA from 1 species